rnacentral:rRNA from 1 species
GACGAACGCUGCGCGGCGCCUAACACAUGCAAGUCGAACGGAGUUAUUUCAGCGAGAAGGCUUUACGGGGUGGACGCAGGGAUAACUUAGUGGCGAACGGGUGAGUAACACGUGAGGAACCUGCCCUGGAGUGGGGGAUAACAGUUGGAAACGACUGCUAAUACCGCAUAAGCCCACAGCACCGCAUGGUGCAGCGGGAAAAGGAGCAAUUCGCUUCAGGAUGGCCUCGCGUCCAAUUAGGUAGAUGGUGAGGUAACGGCCCACCAUGCCGACGAUUGGUAGCCGGACUGAGAGGUUGAACGGCCACAUUGGGACUGAGACACGGCCCAG